AGGUAGGGGCCUGAGCCCAGGGUUUGGUAGGCAAGAGGGCAGGUGGGUGCAAUGUUUCUUCUUUUGAUGUGUCCUUGUCUCCACCUCAGGGCCCUGGCUGGCCUGUCUGUUGAAGCGAGGUUGUGGAUGUCCCCGACCUCCAGUGGUCCCUGCUCCUGGUGAUGUGGGGCAGCAUCCACCUGCAUGCACUUCACCUUGGAGGCCAAGGUUUUGGAGGGAAGCCCUUCUCCUCUCCUAUCUCAAUAUUAGACCAUCGGACCAUGGGACACGAAGCUCAGGCCCCCCACCCUGGAGUUGUGACCAGUGUACACAGCUGCCUGCCCUUUUCCCUUGUGUCCAUCCGGGAGCGGCUUUCUGCCAGAAAAUAUUUAUACAAAGAUCAAGAUCAUUAACCAUAAAAAGUUCACAUUUUAACUGUAA